rnacentral:lncRNA from 1 species
CGAGCAGCUGGCUGUUGAGCAGCAUGUGCUCAGGGCAGGCAGGCUGGGAGAAGCUGAUGCCCUGCACCAGGCGGUCGAUGCUGCCCGUGCUGCUGUCCCACAGCGCACCGCCGGUGCCGGGCUCAGGCUGCGACGUGGAGUAGCUCGCCUUGUCCUCACCCAGGGCACUCUUCACAGGAGAGAAGUCUGUGUCAGAGCGGAUGUGUUUGGGGAGGGCUCCGGGGGACUCGGUGACACCACCUGAGGACACGCGGCCACGCUUUGUGCCCUUCUUCAGGGGCCGGCAGUACCAGCGGUCCUUCUUGAUGUCGGGGAUGGUGAUGCGCGCCGUGGGGUUCUCGGUCAGGAUCUUGUGCAGCAGUGCUAAUGGUGCAGAGUCGAUCUUCCUCCAGGGCGCCAGGUAGGUCUUCCUCUCCUUCCAGUCGCUGUACUCCUGGCAGCUGUC